AGCUUUGCGCAGUGGCAGUAUUGUAGCCAAUGAAGUUUAUCCAAGGCGUGAUCAUUGCUAAUGGAAGACUUUUCCCAUUACCCGCCAAGAUGACUUGAAGUAUAGACGGCAUUGGCAGUUUUUGACAGUCUGUGGAGAC
ensembl:snRNA U4 U4 spliceosomal RNA